UACGUAGGGUGCAAGCGUUAAUCGGAAUUACUGGGCGUAAAAGCGUGCGCAGGCGGUUAUGUAAGACAGAUGUGAAAAUGCCCGGGCUUUAACCUGGGGAACUGCAUUUUGUGACUGCAUGGCUAGAGUUUUGGCAGAGGGGGGGGUGGAAUUCCACGUGUAGCAGUGAAAUGCGUAGAGAUGUGGAGGAACACCGAUGGCGAAGGCAGCCCCCCUGGGCCG
rnacentral:rRNA from 1 species